rnacentral:misc_RNA from 1 species
UUAAGUUCAGUGGGUAUCCCUACCUGAUCCGAGGUCAAACCAUAGAAUAUGUGUGGGUUGUCCGGCGGCAGCACCGCAAGCUCCGGAGCGGGUAGAUUUGACUACGCUGGGAGUUGGGCACCGCCGCCUACGAGUUUCGGGCACGUCCGGUGAGGACGAGGCCCAAUACCAAGCAGAAGCUUGAGGUUUGAAAUGACGCU